rnacentral:rRNA from 1 species
GACGAACGCUGGCGGCGUGCUUAACACAUGCAAGUCGAACGGAAAGGCCCUGCUUUUGUGGGGUGCUCGAGUGGCGAACGGGUGAGUAACACGUGAGUAACCUGCCCUUGACUUUGGGAUAACUUCAGGAAACUGGGGCUAAUACCGGAUAGGAGCUCCUGCUGCAUGGUGGGGGUUGGAAAGUUUCGGCGGUUGGGGAUGGACUCGCGGCUUAUCAGCUUGUUGGUGGGGUAGUGGCUUACCAAGGCUUUGACGGGUAGCCGGCCUGGGAGGGUGACCGGCCACAUUGGGACUGAGAUACGGCCCAGUCUCCUACGGGAGGCAGCAGUGGGGAAUAUUGCACAAUGGGCGGAAGCCUGAUGCAGCAACGCCGCGUGCGGGAUGACGGCCUUCGGUUUGUAAACCGCUUUCGCCUGUGACGAAGCGUGAGUGACGGUAAUGGGUAAAGAAGCACCGGCUAACUACGUG